rnacentral:lncRNA from 1 species
AAGAACCAGGUCCAUUCCACAUUAGGCUUCACCAAAAACCGAAAAAAGAAGUAUCUUUUAUAAAUUAAAGCAAGAAAUCCUUUAUACUGGAACAUAAAUCACCCACAAAAAUCACAGAUAUAGGAUUAAAAAGGCAAAAAAAGCUGUUUUUUCUCGGAUUCUUUUAUACCCUAAUUUCAAGUCAAACAACAAAUUGGCGAUCUUAGAACAAAAUUCCCAAGGACCCCACGUUACAAAAAUGUAAAGACAUCAAAUGGGCUGCAGAAUUUUGGGGCAAAUCAUAAGAUCAAACAAAAAUGAAGAUAAUACGCACCAAGAGCAAAGAAGAAGGUGAAGAUCGCAGAGAAUACAUUGCCGACGAUUGUAGAUACCCCAAGGGUGAAGCAAUCUUUGGCCCUUUCAACCAAAUCUCCAAUUGAAAUAGAUGAAAUAGACGAUGCUGAAGGCAAAGCUCGAGAUGGGUAUGCGUAAAAUUCCAUUUAUUAUUAAUAUUAAUAUUAUUAUUAUUAUUAUUAUUAUUUUCUCCGGUUGAUUGAUUCAAGAUACUUGGUCUCCGAAAAAGUAGCUAAUAUAUAAAUGUUUUCGAAAGCAACUAUGUAUAUAUAGAGAAAAAAAGUUAAAGAGGAGGGUGUACAAGGCAAAGGGAAGUAAUCUUCGUUGCUAAGACUAGUUGACAAUAACCCUACACAAACCAGCUAGCAUUUAUGGCUUUGCUUACUUUUAUUCACAGAAUGAAAACGAAAACAGAAAUUAUUACUAGUAUAUGCUUUGGUCGGGAUUGAAUUAGAAUUUGGUCUCUUUUAUAAAGUUCUCUAAAUUUAUUUAGAUAUCCAUCUAAUUUAAGAUAAAGUACUUGCACGUAUAAUGAAAUAUUUUAAUUUAAAUUUUAAGUGAUUAAUUUAUCUAUGAAAUAAUUAUUUAAUAAAACGUUCAAAAAUAGUUAUUUAAUGAACUUAUAUACGUAUGCAUUGAAGACUUGAGAACGUAUAAUAUAAUAUGUAGUAUAUGAUAUUUAUCCAAUGUAGGAGAUGUUAUUUUUGCAAAGAUAAGCAAUCCCAUUGCCUGUGCAGUGGGGAUACAUAGUUGUAUAGGUCAGCGGAUACCAAGUUGUAGAGGUUGCUUAUCGUGACAUAAGUAGAAAAAAAAUUAUCGCUCUUUUUCCCUUUUGCUUAUGCAAGAAUGAAUUCAAAUUGACUGUUUAAUUUACCAUAAACAAAAAUUUAAAAUAAAUGUUGAACAAUCAUUUAUUUAUGUAUUAGCUUGUGAAAUUGAAUUAAACUCAUGAUUUAUUUCUCUAUGUGGUAACAAAUCAAGAUUUGUUUCAAUUAAUGUUAUCGAUGAUGGUCUUCAAACUAAAUUAUUCUGACGUGAAUUGGGUGUUAAAAGACAAAAGAACCUCACAUCAAAUAAAAAAUGAAAUAGGUGAAUCUCCGGUAUAAAGUUGGGCAGUUCAAUUUUCAUUAACAAACUUUUGAAGUUAAGUUAAAAUUCAAAAUUCAUUUUCUUAUGAAAAGUAUCCACUUCUCUUUUAUUUAUUUAUUUAUAUUUGCAGAUCAGACUAAGACUGAAGACUGAAGGGUAUUAAAGGAAGUGGUGGUUUGGUGAAGGGUGGAUAGAUCACAGUACAUUUUAUUAAAGAUUUUGGC